rnacentral:rRNA from 1 species
UACGUAGGGGGCAAGCGUUGUCCGGAAUCAUUGGGCGUAAAGAGCGUGUAGGCGGUUCGGUAAGUCGGCUGUGAAAGUCCAGGGCUCAACCCUGGGAUGCCGGUCGAUACUGCCGGACUAGAGUUCGGAAGAGGCGAGUGGAAUUCCUGGUGUAGCGGUGAAAUGCGCAGAUAUCAGGAGGAACACCUAUUGCGAAGGCAGCUCGCUGGGACGUAACUGACGCUGAGACGCGAAAGCGUGGGGAGCAAACAGG